rnacentral:ncRNA from 1 species
GGUUGAUUUGAUUUUGGUCAAAUAGUUUAAUUAAAUUUUAAUUUGUAUACAUAUUUUUAUAUUUAAAGAGAUAGGAUUUUAAGUAGUAAAUAGUAUUGGACAAUUAAGGUAACUUAGAUUCAGUAAUAAUUUUUAGUAUUAGCAAAAAUUGUGCCAGCAGUUGCGGUUAAACAAUUGAUGCAAUUAAACUUUUUUGGUUUUGAUUAUUUUUAUUUAAUAAUUUAUUUUUUUAAAAAUUAGGUGAAAUUUUUUUUAUUAACAUGAUUAGUUUUUUUAUUUAGAGAUCAAUAAAUCUUUUUAUUAAACUAGGAUUAGAUACCCUAUUAUUAUAGACGGAAGUUUAUGACCAGAUUAGUAUUAGUUAUUUUCUUGAAAAUUAAAAAAUUUGGCGGUAUUUUAGUCUUUUCAGAGGAACCUGUUGUAUGAUUGAUAGUCCACGAUUUAUUAUACUUUUAUUAUUAGUUUAUAUAUCGUUGUUGUUUGAAUAUUUUUUAAGGAUUUAAAUAUUCAUAAUUUUCUUUAGAAAGGAAAUCAGAUCAAGAUGUAGCUUAUAUAAAAGAAUUAAUGGGUUACAAUAAAUUAUAUUUAAACGGACAGGGUUUUGAAAAUACUCUUAAAGGUGGAUUUGAAAGUAAUUAGAAUUUAGAUUGUUUUGAUGAUUUAGCUCUAGAAUAUGUACAUAUUGCCCGUCGCUUUCGUUAUAAAAUGAAAUAAGUCGUAACAUAGUAGAUUUACCGGAAGGUGAAUCUGGGUAGAC